AACUGAAAGUCAAGUGACUCCUGACUCUGCAAAGGAACCUCUCUGUGGCCAUGAUGUCACCAUCUGUUUACUCAUCUGUAAAAGAGGGAUACUGCUACUUAUUUUUGUAACAAGCUUUUUGGGAUCCUCUGAAAGUAGGAACCACAAUGGACAAAUGGAGCAUGCCUAAUCCACUGAGGUGCACUCAUUUCAAGCAAGAGAGAAGGCACAAGGAAGAUAGUGCAAGAAAGAGAAGAAGAAAAGUGGUGAAUCUGGCAUCAUAUAUGGAGCGAGGCAAGCGAGAUUGAUCCAGUGAGAAAAAAGGUCAAAGACAGAGCCUGGGAGGGAUGGGCUAGGAAGUGUGGAGGAGACACAGCUAGGCUCAAGCUAUCAGGCCCAGACGCUGGUAUACAAAGGAAAUGGAAACAGAUGGUAGGAGAUGUAACAGGAUCAAGGAAGGAGAAAAUGGUGAUUGGGUCGGACAAGAACUAAAAGGAGCAAGAACUUUUACUGAACAUUGAUGGAGAGUAAGGCACAGAAAGAUCAAGUGACUUGCCCAAGAUCACACAGGAAGUCUGUAAAACUGAGCCAGGAGUUGAACCCAGAUCACCCUUCUUCUCUGCAAUGUGGAAAGCUGCCAUCUUAAAAUUCUUCUUGUCCAUGAGCUCCUGCAAAAAAAUACCCUUCCUUCCCGCUGCACAAGACCAAAGCUGUUUUUUUGCUACUAUAUGCAUCUUUGAGCCACAUGUCAAUACAAGAAAGUUGACACGGCUGUAAUGUAGGAACUCUUGCUUUAGUUGUUCAGGCUAAGUAAGAGAUUCCUUUUUAUGUCUUUCAUCUUACUGAAUGUGUUCCAACCUCGUUUUACUGAACUUAAAAUUCUUUCCACAUGUUUUCAGUUUGACCUGAGAAAGGUCCAAGAUGCAUGUAGCAGUAUUCUUCUAGUUCUUUAAUGCUAUGCCUCUGUAUACUAGUUUGGUUUAGUUAUGUGACUAGUGGGCCUGUUUUAGCUUUCCUUAAAUUUCAUUUGAGGCAUGCAUUCUGGCUUUUGUAGUUCAGGUCCUAUGCCAGGUCUUAACCAUUGUGUAUUGUUUGUGACUAGAAUUAUAAGCAUAAACAUACUCUAAAUCUCACUUUUAAAGACUCUUCAUCUUUGCCAAAUCCAGUCUAUAACACAUGUUCUCUAGAUGGUUUAAAUCAUGAAGACCUCUGAUAGAACAGUGACUCCCUGUGCUCUUUUUACUCCAGUCAAGCAUGAGAUAUUGCAAAUCAAUGUCAUACAAUUCACUUGACCACAAAUUGCAAGAAAACACAAAAAUAGAAAGUUCUUUAUAUGUUAUGUGAGCUUUUACUUUAAACAAAGAUUAAAAAGGAGACUUUUAGAGCUACCAUUUACAGGUGUGAACUAAAGAUCAAAAGGUAAAAUCUUAGUCCUGUUGAAGUCAAUGGCAAAACUCCCAUUGGCUUCAGAAGGAGUUCACACCAAGGUUCCUGAUUCUGCUCUGUCCUGAGUGCUGAAGGAUUUCACUCUCCACUGAGUGCAGCUCUGCAAACGCUACAUACACCAGGACCUCACCUAUGCUAGUCCUCAGAAAGGAAUUAGAAGAAGUGACAUUUUAGUCUUGUCAGCUCUAAUAGUGCACCAAUAAAUAAAGACUGGUUUGCUAUUUGAUAAGAAUGCUCAAUCAAGUUUACUACAAAUAAGGUU